GACGAACGCUGGCGGCGCGCUUAACACAUGCAAGUCGAACGGAAAGGCCUGCUUUCCCUUGUGGAUUGCGGGUACUCGAGUGGCGAACGGGUGAGUAACACGUGAGUGAUCUGCCCCCAACUUGGGUAUAAGCCUGGGAAACUGGGUCUAAUUCCCGAUAGGACUGCAGGGUGGUGCCUGUGGUGGAAAACGAUUUUCUAGUGGUUGGGGAUGAGCUCGCGGCCUAUCAGCUUGUUGGUGGGGUAAUGGCCUACCAAGGCGGCGACGGGUAGCCGGCCUGAGAGGGUGGACGGCCACAUUGGGACUGGGAUACGGCCCAGACUCCUACGGGAGGCAGCAGUGGGGAAUAUUGCGCAAUGGGCGGAAGCCUGAUGCAGCGACGCCGCGUGGGGGAUGACGGCCUUCGGGUUGUAAACUCCUUUCGACCGCGAGGAAGCCACCUGGUUGGAAGGGUGGUGACGGUAGUGGUAGAAGAAGCACCGGCUAACUACGUG
rnacentral:rRNA from 1 species